rnacentral:rRNA from 1 species
GACGUAGGGCGCGAGCGUUGUCCGGAUUUAUUGGGCGUAAAGAGCUCGUAGGCGGUUUGUCGCGUCGGCUGUGAAAACCCACGGCUUAACUGUGGGCUUGCAGCUGAUACGGGCAGGCUAGAGUUCGGUAGGGGAGACUGGAAUUCCUGGUGUAGCGGUGAAAUGCGCAGAUAUCAGGAGGAACACCGGUGGCGAAGGCGGCUCUCUGGUACGUGACUGACGCUGAGACGCGAAAGCGUGGGGAGCAAACAGG